UAGAUGUAAUACGGCCACCGGCUGUGAGGAAAUAUUACAACUUUCUUACAAUUUCACGAAAGAUGGUUUGUGUAUCAAAAUUACUACAGGAGGCGCUGUAACCUUUGCAACUAUCAUUAUUUUUCUCUUGGCCAUUAUCUAUAUCCAAAGAAGAAAAUUGUUGAAAGCUUCCUUUACAUCUUUGACAGCACGACGAGAUCAAAAUAAUUACAACGAAAUACCACAUCAAAUGUCAGAUUCCAUUACAGGGCAAUACUAUGAGGUAUCGCAAUUAUCAGAAAUCUCUGCUUCAGGAGGCAAACCCUCUGUCCAACAGAACAUAGAUCAAAUACAACACAUUGAUACAUCUGGAUAUCUUAUUCCUUCUAGCAUGCUAGAGACAAGUGGAGACUAUCAAACAAUCGCAGACUAAUUUGAAAAUUUCACAACAUUUAAGUUUGUAAACAUUCACACUUCGAAUACACAUACAGAUACUUUUUUGUAUAUAAACUGUAGUUACUGUAAUCAUGUGUUUUGUAUCUAAACAUUUAUUGCAAAAGUUUCGUAUUCUACAAAACUUGAAUUGUAUUCUAUAUUUGUUAGUAUUUAAUGUCUGUAAAAACAUUUUUUAAGAAAAUAAAACCAGACGAAUGUAAAUUUCAAACCCAUGUUAUGGAAUUGGAAGGAAAUUAAUACAACAUAAAAGAUUUUCCCCGUGAAAAGUGCAAAUGACAGGUUAUAAAUGUGACUAUCACUUUCACUUGUGCAAUGAUUGCACAUCUAUGUUGACAUGAAUUAUCAUUGAUAUAGUCAUAAUUAUAAAUUAACUGUUUAUAAAACUUUAAAGAGGUAGGGUUAAUUUCCCCUGAUUUUUGUUCACAGAAGGGCCGAUUUCAAAAAGUGCGAUAAAAACAAGUAAUAAAAAUGUUUUUUGAUCAAUAUCUCGAUUUAUAUUAUUAUGGUAUGUCUGAAGAAUAGUUAAUUUAACCCCUCAAAAGAGAUGAAAGUCAAAUAUGCGGAAUUUACCGUGUUUUAGGUGGGAAAUACAGGGAAUCCCCCCGAAAAGGACAUUUCAAACCAAAACAAAGUUAUGUUUUUUUUUGUUGUUGUUAUUUAUACAACUUUUUUCCUCAAAAAUGAAAUUGGUUUAGUGUGUCCUUAAUACCUAAAAAACAACCUUUUUAAUAAACAAGUGGAGCAUCACUAAAUUGUACAUAUAUAACUGCUUAAUAACCCAAUUCUUUUCAAGAGUCUCUGUGGUUCCAUCGGUAGGGCUUCGAACUAUCAUUAAUAGAUUAUUUUUAAUAAGGGUCAAAAUCUCACGCAGAUUUAUUUGCCUUUUUAUUGUGUUGAAAUAUUAAAUUGUAAUGUUCUAUCAUAUUU